rnacentral:rRNA from 1 species
UACGGAGGGCGCAAGCGUUGUUCGGAAUCAUUGGGCGUAAAGCGCGUGUAGGCGGUCUGGUCAGUCGGGUGUGAAAUACCGGGGCUCAACUCCGGAACUGCAUUCGAUACUGCCAGGCUAGAGUCCCGGAGAGGGUGGUGGAAUUCCCGGUGUAGAGGUGAAAUUCGUAGAUAUCGGUAGGAACACCAGCGGCGAAGGCAGCCACCUGGACGGUGACUGACGCUGAGGCGCGAAAGCGUCGGCAGCAAACAGU